rnacentral:lncRNA from 1 species
CCCCCCCUUUCCCUGUACGACUGACUAGGUAUCCCCCCCUUUCCCUGUACAACUGACUAGGUAUCCCCCCUUUCCCUGUACAACUGACUAGGUAUCCCCCUUUCCCACUGACUAGGUAUCCCCCCCUUUCCCUGUACGACUGACUAGGUAUCCCCCCUUUCCCUGUACGACUGACUAGGUAUCCCCCUUUCCCACUGACUAGGUAUCCCCCCCUUUCCCUGUACGACUGACUAGGUAUCCCCCUUUCCCUGUACAACUGACUAGGUAUCCCCCCCUUUCCCUGUACAACUGACUAGGUAUCCCCCUUUCCCUAUACAACUGACUUGGUAUCCCCCCCUUUCCCUGUACAACUGACUAGGUAUCCCUUUUUCCCACUGACUAGGUAUCCCCCCUUUCCCUGUACAACUGACUAGGUAUCCCUCCUUUCCCUGUACAACUGACUAGGUACCCCCCCUUUCCCUGUACAACUGACUAGGUAUCCCCCUUUCCCUGUACAACUGACUAGGUAUCCCCC